AUCUCCUGGGAACCUUGUUAAAUUGCAGAUUCUGAUUCAGCAGGUCUGGGGCGAGGCCUAAGAUUCUGCAUUUCUCACAAGCUCCCAGGAGAUGUUUA
rnacentral:pre_miRNA from 1 species